AUUGAACGCUGGCGGCAGGCUUAACACAUGCAAGUCGAUCGGAGAGAGGUAGCUUGCUACUGAUCUUAGCGGCGGACGGGUGAGUAAUGCUUAGGAAUCUGUCUAUUAGUGGGGGACAACAUUUCGAAAGGAAUGCUAAUACCGCAUACGUCCUACGGGAGAAAGCAGGGGAUCUUCGGACCUUGCGCUAAUAGAUGAGCCUAAGUCGGAUUAGCUAGUUGGUGGGGUAAAGGCCUACCAAGGCGACGAUCUGUAGCGGGUCUGAGAGGGUGACCCGCCACGAUGGGACUGAGACACGGCCCAGACUCCUACGGGAGGCAGCUGUGGGGAAUAUUGGAGAAUGGGCGGAAGCCUGAUCCAGCCAUGCCGCGUGUGUGAAGAAGGCCUUAUGGUUGUAAAGCACUUUAAGCGAGGAGGAGGCUACUUUAGUUAAUACCUAGAGAUAGUGGACGUUACUCGCAGAAUAAGCACCGGCUAACUCUGUGCCAGCAGCCGCAGUAA
rnacentral:rRNA from 1 species